rnacentral:rRNA from 1 species
GGUUCGAUCAUGGCUCAGAUUGAACGCUGGCGGGAUGCUUUACACAUGCAAGUCGAACGGCAGCACGGACUUCGGUCUGGUGGCGAGGGCGAACGGGUGAGUAGCCGUAUCGGAACGUGCCUAGUAGCGGGGGAUAACUACGCGAAAGCGUAGCUAAUACCGCAUACCGCCUCGGGGGAAAGCGGGGGACCCCGGGCCUCGCACUAGAGUGCUGAUACUUCUGGAUUAGCUAGUUGGUGGGGUAACGGCUCACCAUGGCGACGAUCCGUAGCUGGUUUGAGAGGACGACCAGCCACACUGGGACUGAGACACGGCCCAGACUCCUACGGGGAGGCAGUGGGGAAUUUUUGAAUAAUGGGGAAACCCUGAUCCAGUCAUCCCGCGUGUGCGAUGAAGGCCUUCGGGUUGUAAAGCACUUUUGGCAGGAAAGAAACGGCACGGGAUAAUACCCCGCGCAACUGACGGUACCUGCAGUAGUACACCGGCUAAUCCACAAAGCCAGCAGCCGCGGUAAUACGUAGGGUGCAAGCGUUAAUCGGAAUUACUGGGCGUAAAAGCGCGCAGGCGGUUCGGAAAGAAAUAUGUGAAAUCCCAGAGCUUAACUUUGGAACUGCAUUUUUAACUACCGAGCGAAGAGUGUGUCAGAGGGAGGUGGAAUUCGGGCGUGUAGCAGUGAAAAUGCGUAGAUAUGGAGGAACACCGAUGGCGAAGGCAGCCUCCUGGGAUAACACUGACGCUCAUGCACGAAAGCGUGGGGGGAGCAAACAGGAUUAGAUACCCUGGUAGUCCACGCCCUAAACGAUGUCAACUAGCUGUUGGGGCCUUCGCCUUGGUAGCGCAGCUAACGCGAAGUUGACCGCCUUCGGGAUACGGUCGCAAGAUUAAAACUCAGCGGAAUUGACGGGGACCUGCACAAGCGGUGGAUGAUGUGGAUUAAUUCGAUGCAACGCGAAAACCUUACCUACCCUUGACAUGUCUGGAAUCCCGAAGAGAUUUGGGAGUGCUCGCAAGAGAACCGGAACACAGGUGCUGCAUGGCUGUCGUCAGCUCGUGUCGUGAGAUGUUGGGUUAAGUCCGCAACGAGUAACCCUUUGUCAUUAGUUGCUACGAAAGCGGCACUCUAACGAGACUGCCGGUGACAAACCGGAGGAAGGUGGGGAUGAUUGUCAAGUCCUCAUGGCCUUUAUGGGUAGGGCUUCACACGUCAUACAAUGGCGUCGGGACAGUGGUCGCUAACCCGCGAGGGAGCCAAUCCCAGAAACCCGAUCGUAGUCCGGAUCGCAGUUCGCAACUCGACCGCGUGAAGUCGGAAUCGCUAGUAAUCGCGGAUCAGCAUGUCGCGGUGAAUACGUUCCUGGCCCUGUGUUGACACCGCUCGUCACACCAUGAGUGGGUUUUACCAGUAGUUAGCCUAACCGUAAGGAGGGCGAUUACCACGGUAGGAUUCAUGACUGGGGUGAAGUCGUAACAAGGUAG